rnacentral:tRNA from 1 species
GGAGGCUGUGGCUUCGUGGCAGAGGAUCUGUUUGGCAUGCAGAAGGUCUUGGGUUCGAUUCCCGGCAUCUUCA